GACGAACGCUGGCGGCGUGCUUAACACAUGCAAGUCGAACGGUGAAGGGGUCUGCUUUUGUGGGCCCUGGAUGAGUGGCGGACGGGUGAGUAACACGUGAGUAACCUGCCCCCUUCUUCUGGAUAACCGCAUGAAAGUGUGGCUAAUACGGGAUAUUCUGGGUCUGUCGCAUGAUGGGUCUGGGAAAGAUUGCGCCUUUGGGUGUUUUUGGUGGGGGAUGGGCUCGCGGCCUAUCAGCUUGUGGGUGGGGUGAUGGCCUACCAAGGCGGUGACGGGUAGCCGGCCUGAGAGUGUGGACGGUCACACUGGGACUGAGACACGGCCCAGACUCCUACGGGAGGCAGCAGUGGGGAAUAUUGCACAAUGGGCGCAAGCCUGAUGCAGCGACGCCGCGUGAGGGAUGGAGGCCUUCGGGUUGUAAACCUCUUUCGCCAGUGAAGCAGGCCUGCUCCUUGUGGGUGGGUUGACGGUAGCUGGAGAAGAAGCGCCGGCUAACUACGUG
rnacentral:rRNA from 1 species